AUUUUUAAACACACUACGAUAUCAUAUCACGCAAUGUAUACUUCUUUGCACAAAGAUACAAGAAAACAGAAGGAUAAAAGAAAGGAAACUUAUUAGCCUAAUUUCUAUGUAAUUCGAUCGUCACGCCAUCAGUUGUUAAUUUAGCGGAACUAUUCCUCUUAGUAAAUAACGAAUAAAAAAGAAAUUAAACGAAAGUGUAUUCGAAUCACGUUUGAUUAUCAGUUUAAACAAAGGAAUUCGAGCAUUUUUUGUAUCUAUUCUUUCAUUUUCAAAUUUUCCGAGGCUGAAUCAACUAGCUAGCCGAUAAACGUUCUCUUAGGGUUUAGUGACACGUAAAGAGGCUAGUAUUUCGUGGAUCGACAACGAUUUUCAUGUUACGGAUUCGAUACUUGUUCGGAUAUCGAGUUAAUCAGCCAUGCGAGACUGGCCGUCCCGAGCAGUCGCGUUUUUUUUUUCGAGAUUAUCGAGCGACCUGUGUGGCUGGGAAGAAAACCGCUGCCAAGAAAUUCUAGUAUCGACGAAAGGAAAGCUGGUCUGCCGUUGACUUCGCGAAUAGGAAUACGGGUCAACGGGUAUCCCGAACAGAAAUAAUGCUUUGGUCAUUUCUAUCGAUAAACUCAAGUUAUUUGGUCCAAUUUUAAAAAAAUUAUCCUAUUGUAAAGAAUGAUCGAACUUUUUA